GAGACAGGGUAUCAACGCAGAGUACAUGGGAGUGCUAAGAUGCGUUAUCACAUGGGUCUCUGCCCUAUCAGCUUUGAUUGUGGUGUAGCGGACCACAAUGGCAGCCACGGGUGACGGGGAAUUCGGGUUCGAUUCCGGAGAGGGAGCCUGAGAGACGGCUACCACAUCCAAGGACGGCAGCAGGCACGUAAAUUGCCCAAUACCAACACAUGUAGUGAGGCAGCAACGAAGAAUGGCAACCGGACCUGUCCCACGCGGGUGGGUCCGGUUCGCAAUGGAUGCUAACACAAACCGAGCAAUGAGUAUCGACUGGAGGAUCAGUCUGGUGCCAGCACCCGCGGUAAUUCCAGCUCCAGGAGCGUAUACUAAUGUUGCUGCCGUUAAAACGCUCGUAGUUGAUUUUUGAGGUGAUCAGUGCCAGGGAGCUUGUGUGGUUGGCCGUGCAGUUGCCCCUGCCUCGGCAGGCGGUGCAGUGCGGCUUGCUGUGCUUUGCUUGGACGGCGCCCUGCCGUCCGCCUCUGGAGGUCUGACACCUCCCUUCAGAGCGGAAUCGGUUCUCCCUGCGAAGGCCUCCUUGAUUGGUGGUCGAUGCGACGAACUCACAACCGUGACAUGUCUCGUGCUACAGAAAUGGGAGCGUCCGUAUGCGUUACUAUGAACAAAGCAGUGUGCCCAAGGGCAGGCAUUGAGUUGCCAGCAUGGUCAAGCAUGGGAUGACAGGGCAACGACCGAGUCGUUUGUCUUCUUCUAUCUGCUAGUCUCGCGACACUGCUUGGGUAAGUAUGGGCCUGUCGUGCUGCCUUGCACCAGACGGUGCACCGCAUGGUGCCCGCGCGGUCGCAUCAGCAUCGGUAGGUCUACCUUUCGGGAGCGAGGGGACCCUCCAGAGCCAUAUGUACCGCCUGGCGAGAGGUGAAAUUCUUAGACCCAGGUGGGACAACCCGUAGCGAAGGCGUGUCGGCUGGGAUGCGUCCGUCAAUCAAGAACGAGAGUGUGGGGCUCAAAGAUGAUCAGAUACCGUUGUAGUCCAUCACCGUAAACCAUGCCAGCUCGGUAUUGGUCGUACGUUCUCUUCGGAACGACACGAUCAGCAUGGCCUUCCCCUAUCACGAGAAAUCCAAGCUUUUGGGUUCGGGGGGAAGUAUUGUCGCAAGGCUGAAACUUAAAGGAAUUGACGGAAUGACACCACAAGGCGUGGAAUGUGCGGCUUAAUUUGACCCAACACGGGGAAUGUACCAGGUCAGGACGCAGCAAGGAUGGACAGAUUGAGAGCUCUUUCUUGAUCCUUUGGAGGGUGGUGCAUGGCCGUUCCUGGUUGGUGGAGUGAUUUGUCUGGUUGAUUCCGAUAACGAGCGAGAUCUCUGCCUCCCAAUACGUCGCUGUGUCGCCUUGUAGGGCAUCCGGUCGGUGACCCAGUGCCGGUGCCUCGGUACCGUGCACUGCACCAAUCGUGCCUGAGACUGCAGUGCCCGACUUCUCAGAGGUGCUAUGUGUGCCCACACAAGCGCAUGUAUGCAAGAGCCGACAGCAGGUCUGUGAUGCCCCUAAACGUCCUGGGCUGCACGCGCAUUACACUGCUGCAGUGAACAUGCUGACUUCUCUGUUUGAGGGUCCUGUUCAGAUGUGAAUGGGAAACCCUGGGAGCCUGCGUCGUGUUCGGGAUAGACAAUUGAAAGUGUUUGCCUUGAACGAGGAAUGCCUGGUAGGCGCUGUUCAUCAGACAGCACCGACUAUGUCCCUGCCAUUUGUACACACCGCCCGUCGUUGCUACAGAUGAUGUUGGGGCAGAGAGCUGCAGAAGCAAAGCGUUGCCGCUGUCCUCGGGCAGUGGUCAGCCUAGUAGCUGAAGUUGCUCAAUGUUUCCGCAUUAGAUGAAGCAAAAGUCGUAACAAGGUUGCAGUAGGUGAACCUUCUGCAGGAUCAUU
rnacentral:rRNA from 1 species